AAAGGGGAAACCCGCCGAAGGAGGGGCUCGCGGCCCAUUAGCUAGUUGGUGUGGUAAUGGCGCACCAAGGCGACGAUGGGUAGCCGGCCUGAGAGGGUGAACGGCCACACUGGGACUGAGACACGGCCCAGACUCCUACGGGAGGCAGCAGUCGGGAAUCUUCGACAAUGGGCGAAAGCCUGAUCGAGCAACGCCGCGUGUGUGAGGAAGGCCUUCGGGUUGUAAAGCACUGUCCCGGGGGACGAAGAAAAUGACGGUACCCCGGGAGGAAGUCCCGGCUAACUACGUGCCAGCAGCCGCGGUAAUACGUAGGGGGCAAGCGUUGUCCGGAAUUACUGGGCGUAAAGGGCGUGUAGGCGGCCAUUAAGUUCGGUGUGAAAGGCGUGGGCUCAACCCAUGGACUGCACUGAAAACUGGGUGGCUUGAGGGUAGUAGAGGAGAGCGGAAUUCCCGGUGUAGCGGUAAAAUGCGUAGAUAUCGGGAGGAACACCAGUGGCGAAGGCGGCUCUCUGGGCU
rnacentral:rRNA from 1 species